rnacentral:lncRNA from 1 species
UAAAAUACACAUAACAUCAAAUGUGCCCUUUUCCCCAUUUUUAAGUGCACAGUUCAGUGGUAUGAAGUAUGUUCACAGUGUUGUACAGCCACCACCACCACACAGUUCAGUGGUAUGAAGCGUGUUCACAGUGUUGUACAGACACCACCGCCACACAGUUCAGUGGUAUGAAGCGUGUUCACAGUGUUGUACAGCCACCACCGCCACACAGUUCAGUGGUAUGAAGCGUGUUCACAGUGUUGUACAGCCACCACCGCCACACAGUUCAGUGGUAUGAAGCGUGUUCACAGUGUUGUACAGCCACCACCGCCACACAGUUCAGUGGUAUGAAGCGUGUUCACAGUGUUGUACAGCCACCACCGCCACACAGUUCAGUGGUAUGAAGUGUGUUCACAGUGUUGUAUAGCCACCACCAUCCAUUUCUGGGAUCUUUUCAUCAUCCCCAACAGAAACCCCAGCCCACUGAACACUAACUCCUUGUUCCUUCCUUCCCUGUCCCUGGUCACCACCAUUCUACCACCUGUGUGUAUGAAUUUGCCUCUUCCAGAAACCUCACAUCAGUGGAGUCACACGACAUCUGUCCUUAGGUGUCUCAGCCCCUUAUUCUUACCUAGCAUUGUUUUUAGACAUCUGAAAAGCAGCCCACCAGGGAUAGGAGAGCUGCGCCUUCUAGAACACCCCAUCCCACUUCCAUGUAGAGUUGGGCUACAUGACCUUGGCUUUGGGGUACAGGUGUCCCUCUUCCACAUCAAGUCCCCAAACAAAACAAAACAAAGCACUCUUUCUGACUCAGCUCCUGAAGAGGCUGUGAGGACCCGCCCCCCUCCAUUUACCUGCUCUGCCUUUGCAGUUCAGCUUGUUCUCACGAUGCCCCGUCAGCCUCCGGUUGAAGGGGUGGCCUGCCCCUCCACACCUGUGGGCGUUUCUCAUUAGGUGGAACGAGAGACUUGAGAAAAGAAAUGAGACACAGAGACAAAGUAUAGAGAAAGAAAAAGUGGGCCCUGGGACCGGCGCUCAGCAUACAGAGUACCCACGCAGCGCCGGCACCGGUCUCUGAGUUUCCUCAGUAUUUAUUGAUCAUUAUCUUUACCAUCCUAGAAAAAAGGAAGUGGCAGGAUAAUAGGAUCAUUGUAGGGAGAAGGUCAGCAGUAAGACAUAUGAAUACAGUUCUCUGUGACAUAAGUUUAAGGAAAAGUGCUGUGCCUUGAUAUGCAUAGGCAAACAUCUCCAUAAACCUUUUUAGUGCAUAAAGAACAGCAUUGCACUAGCACGUCCCACCUUCAGCCCUAAGGCGGUUUUCUCCUUUCUCAGUAAACAAAAAAUACAAUCAGGUUUUACACCGAGAUGUUCCAUUGCCCAGGGAUGGGCAGGAGACAGAUGCUUUUCUCUAUCUGAACCGCCAAGAGGCCUUCUUUCCUCUUAUACUAGUCCUCAGCAGAGACCCUUCAGGGUGUC